rnacentral:rRNA from 1 species
AUGCGGAUCGAGGCGAGGAAGAUGGGAAGAGUCUCCCUUUGCUCGGAGGACGUCGAUCCGCUGGUGUGGACGCCGGUCCCUGGCAUCGCGGUGGACACGUUGUUCCUCCUCGUGAUCCAGGCGCUGGCCAUCAUCCUCGUCUCCAACCUCUUCCACUCGUUGCUCCGCCGGUACAACCAGCCGAAUGCCAUCUCGCAGAUCCUGGCCGGCAUGGUGGUGGGCGGCAUGGGGCUCCGCAACGCGAUCGUGCACAUCGACGUGGACAACGUGGAGGACAUGUACAACGGGUACAUCGCGGCGACGCGCAUCCUGUACAUGUUCCUCGUGGGCCUGGAGACGGACAUCGCGUCGCUGCGGAGCACGGCCCGGCGGUGCGUGGCCUUCACGUACGCGACGGUGGCGGCGAGCCUCCUCCUGGCGGCCAUCGUGUCGAGCGGGAUGUACGGGAGCAUGAUGCACUCGCCGGUGAGGACGCCCGAGAUGCUGGCGGCGACGCUGAUGGUGGCGCUGACCAACACGUCGUCCGUGUCGGUGGCGCGGAUCGCGGACGACCUCAAGCUGACGGUGACCGAGAACGGGCGGCUCCUGGUGAGCGCGGCCAUCGGGACCAACAUCAUAUGCGUCAUCGGCGACGGCGUGCUGCGGUCCACGAGGAUGGCGAGGGAGAACAGCAUGGACUUGUCGCAAGGCUUGGUGGUGCUAACCGGGGUGGGGCUGGCCCUGUGGCUGGUGCGCCCCGCGGUGACGCGCGUGAACCAGCGCAACGUCGGGCAACACCAUGUGAGGAGACGCGACCUGGCCUUCAUGAUCUCGGCCAUCUGGAUCGUCGGAAACUUCCCGCAGAAGCUUGGCUUCGACGGGUUGCCCACCAGCUUCGCUCUAGGGCUGGUGUUCCCGAGGGAAGGGCCCGCGGCACGGUCCGUCGCGGACGCCCUGGUGCCACCCGUUAACGGAUUGCUGAUCCCCUUCUACUUCGCCACCAUUGGGAUGCGGAUGAACUUCAACACCAUGUCUGGCGCCAUCAUCCUGCCCGGCAUUCUCAUGAUGCUGCUCGGCCUCGUCGGCAAGGCCAUCGGCGCGGCGGUGGCCUCCGCGUACCUCAACAUCCCGCUCUGCGACGCCCUCCGCUUCAGCGUGCUGCUCAACGUGAAGGGCCACGUGGACACCAUGAACAUGCAGUUCGCCAAAUCAGAAGGGGUGUGGGCGGAGCAAGCACUGUACGCGAUGAUCAUCGGCAACCUCGCAAGCACCCUGGUGGCUGGUCCGGCGGCGGCGGUUUUCGUGCGCAAGGAGAAAGAGGCGUACGCGAUGACGCACCAGGCCCUGGAGUCGUUGCGCGAGGAGGCGGAGCUGCGCAUGAUGACCUGCUCUAACAGCGCGCACUCCAUGCCCGCCCUGCUCAGCCUGGUGGAGCUGAUGGUGAUGGAGCCGGCCAAGCAGCCCGCGGUCCAGGUCGUCCACCUGUUCGAGGGCGGCCAUAAGCGUGCCGCUGCGGCGGCCGCGGCGGCGUCAUCGGCGACGCCGUACCUGCCGCCAAUCAUCGACGAGUAUGACGCCGGACGCGAGGCCAUCAACGACAUGAACACGGUGGUGGACCUGUACCUGCGGUCGACGGGCAUCGCGUUGCAGCAGAUCGACGUGGUGUGCAGCAGCGCGUCCCGGGACGUGGACGCCGUGUGCCGCUGCGCCGGGGAGGCGCGCGCCUCCCUGCUCCUCCUCCCCUGCUACAGGGAGCAGCGGUACGACGGCAAGAUGGCGUGCCGGCUGGAGGAGCGGCGCGAGCUGAACGUGGGCGUGCUCGCCAAGGCGCCGUGCACCGUGGGCCUCCUGAUGGACCGGCCCUACAGGAGCAGCGGCGCCAGCUUCCAGGUCCCCACCAGCGUGGACACGAGCACCAGCACGCUGCUGCACCCGUGCAGCGACAGGGCGGUGAGGCACGUCAUCGCGGCGGUGUUCCUGGGCGGGGCCGACGACCGCGAGGCCGUCUCCGUCGCCUCCCGGCUGGCCGAGAACCCCAACAUCGGGCUCACAGUGUUCCGGUUCGUGAAGCUCAGCACGUACGACACGGUGACGUCGUCGACCUCCAGGGCGGCGGCGGCCGCGGAGGGCGAAGGGCUGGGCCGGCCGUUCAACGACGCGGAGGUGGACGAGCGGUUCAUGUGGAGGUUCUACGAGAACUACGCGGCGACGGAGAUGGCCAUGUACGUGGAGAAGGUGGUGGAGAGCCCGGCCGACGUGGUGGAGACGCUGGAGGCCAUGGCCGGGAUGUUCUCGCUGGUGAUCGUGGGGCGGGCCGGGCGGCAGCCCAAGGAUCUGCUGGUCGGGCUGGACGAGUGGGCGGAGGCCGGGCGGGAGCUGGGCGCCGUGGCGGAGAUCCUGGCGUCCAAUACGUCCAUGGAGAUGGGCUCCGUGCUCAUCAUGCAGCAGCACAGGGUGCUUGUGCAGCUGCCCCGAUGA